rnacentral:rRNA from 1 species
AAAUUGAAGAGUUUGAUCAUGGCUCAGAUUGAACGCUGGCGGCAGGCCUAACACAUGCAAGUCGAGCGGUAGCACAGAGAGCUUGCUCUCGGGUGACGAGCGGCGGACGGGUGAGUAAUGUCUGGGAAACUGCCUGAUGGAGGGGGAUAACUACUGGAAACGGUAGCUAAUACCGCAUAACGUCGCAAGACCAAAGUGGGGGACCUUCGGGCCUCAUGCCAUCAGAUGUGCCCAGAUGGGAUUAGCUAGUAGGUGGGGUAAUGGCUCACCUAGGCGACGAUCCCUAGCUGGUCUGAGAGGAUGACCAGCCACACUGGAACUGAGACACGGUCCAGACUCCUACGGGAGGCAGCAGUGGGGAAUAUUGCACAAUGGGCGCAAGCCUGAUGCAGCCAUGCCGCGUGUAUGAAGAAGGCCUUCGGGUUGUAAAGUACUUUCAGCGAGGAGGAAGGCGUUAAGGUUAAUAACCUUAGCGAUUGACGUUACUCGCAGAAGAAGCACCGGCUAACUCCGUGCCAGCAGCCGCGGUAAUACGGAGGGUGCAAGCGUUAAUCGGAAUUACUGGGCGUAAAGCGCACGCAGGCGGUCUGUUAAGUCAGAUGUGAAAUCCCCGGGCUCAACCUGGGAACUGCAUUUGAAACUGGCAGGCUUGAGUCUUGUAGAGGGGGGUAGAAUUCCAGGUGUAGCGGUGAAAUGCGUAGAGAUCUGGAGGAAUACCGGUGGCGAAGGCGGCCCCCUGGACAAAGACUGACGCUCAGGUGCGAAAGCGUGGGGAGCAAACAGGAUUAGAUACCCUGGUAGUCCACGCUGUAAACGAUGUCGACUUGGAGGUUGUUCCCUUGAGGAGUGGCUUCCGGAGCUAACGCGUUAAGUCGACCGCCUGGGGAGUACGGCCGCAAGGUUAAAACUCAAAUGAAUUGACGGGGGCCCGCACAAGCGGUGGAGCAUGUGGUUUAAUUCGAUGCAACGCGAAGAACCUUACCUACUCUUGACAUCCAGAGAACUUAGCAGAGAUGCUUUGGUGCCUUCGGGAACUCUGAGACAGGUGCUGCAUGGCUGUCGUCAGCUCGUGUUGUGAAAUGUUGGGUUAAGUCCCGCAACGAGCGCAACCCUUAUCCUUUGUUGCCAGCGGUCCGGCCGGGAACUCAAAGGAGACUGCCAGUGAUAAACUGGAGGAAGGUGGGGAUGACGUCAAGUCAUCAUGGCCCUUACGAGUAGGGCUACACACGUGCUACAAUGGCAUAUACAAAGAGAAGCGACCUCGCGAGAGCAAGCGGACCUCAUAAAGUAUGUCGUAGUCCGGAUUGGAGUCUGCAACUCGACUCCAUGAAGUCGGAAUCGCUAGUAAUCGUAGAUCAGAAUGCUACGGUGAAUACGUUCCCGGGCCUUGUACACACCGCCCGUCACACCAUGGGAGUGGGUUGCAAAAGAAGUAGGUAGCUUAACCUUCGGGAGGGCGCUUACCACUUUGUGAUUCAUGACUGGGGUGAAGUCGUAACAAGGUAACCGUAGGGGAACCUGCGGUUGGAUCACCUCCUUA